rnacentral:tRNA from 1 species
AAGGUUUUAAGUUAUAUAAACUAAUAAUCUUCAAAAUUAUAAUAAAAGAAAUUCUUUAAGCCUUA